GUUUUAAGAAUUGGAAGCAUGAAGAUGGUGGUUCCCAGGGUACGUCUUCAAGCCACCCCCAACUCAGAGCUUGUCUUUGGGGGGCAAUGACUCAGUUAUUUGUCACACCACCAAGGGGACAGCUCAGUGUUUCCAUCCUUCCCAGCUCAAAGGCCACCGUGUAGGCAGCAGGCACACAAAAGUUAGGACGACACUGAAAGUGGGCUCUGGAGAAAGCGAAGCCAUUAUGCAUUUUAUUGCCAUCUAAGAAAAGUGGAAAUGGACCUGGUAGUGUAGGAGAGGGGAGCGGUGGCUGCUGGGUCAAGACAGAGACACAGAGAUGGAAAGGAAAUCAGAAAUGGUGAGAUCUUUCUCCCUCCCCCCUCUGUAUGCACACAUACUCAUAAAACCGUAGCUCA
rnacentral:lncRNA from 1 species